rnacentral:rRNA from 1 species
AUACGGAGGGUGCGAGCGUUAAUCGGAAUUACUGGGCGUAAAGCGUACGUAGGCGGUUGGUUAAGUUAGAUGUGAAAGCCCCGGGCUUAACCUGGGAACUGCAUUUAAAACUGACGAACCAGAGUUGAGUAGAGGGGAGUGGAAUUUCAGGUGUAGCGGUGAAAUGCGUAGAGAUCUGAAGGAACACCAGUGGCGAAGGCGACUCCCUGGACUCGAACUGACGCUGAGGUACGAAAGCGUGGGUAGCAAACGGGAUUAGAAACCCUUGUAGUCC